UACAGAGGGUGCGAGCGUUAAUCGGAAUUACUGGGCGUAAAGCGCGCGUAGGCGGCUUUGCAAGUCGGGUGUGAAAUCCCCAGGCUUAACCUGGGAACUGCAUUCGAGACUGCAUUGCUAGAGUAUGGGAGAGGGAAGUGGAAUUUCCGGUGUAGCGGUGAAAUGCGUAGAUAUCGGAAGGAACACCGGUGGCGAAGGCGGCUUCCUGGACCGACACUGACGCUGAGGCGCGAAAGCUAGGGGAGCAAACGGG
rnacentral:rRNA from 1 species